rnacentral:piRNA from 1 species
UGAUCUUAUAUCUUUUCACCAAUCCUGCCU